GUCGACGAUUACUCCUACGGGAGGCAGCAGUGAGGAAUAUUGGUCAAUGGGCGAGAGCCUGAACCAGCCAAGUCGCGUGAAGGAAGAAGGAUCUAUGGUUCGUAAACUUCUUUUGCAGGGGAAUAAAGUGCAGGACGUGUCCUGUUUUGUAUGUACCCUGAGAAUAAGGAUCGGCUAACUCCGUGCCAGCAGCCGCGGUAAUAAUCUCUAGA
rnacentral:rRNA from 1 species